GGGGAUGAUCGGCUUCGAUGGAGCCUGCGGGCAUGAGCAAUCGGGCCGAGGACGCAAAGACACUCGUAAAACUCUUUGCAAACCAAUACGUGCAAACGUAUCCGAACGCGUAGCGGUUGCUGCGGCCGAUUUGUUUGGCGGCGGCACCCGCGCGCUUGCGUUCGCCUAAUUUUUUAGAUGAACGCCAUCCGCCUGCGGAGCCCAAGCCGCAGAUCAGCGGGUGUCAUACCCUCGGGCUUGAGGCACGGGAUCCGGGACCGCGCCCGACACCAACCGGAAUCCGAACGGAUGUCUUUGCUGAAAUUUUAUUCCGCUCCGGACACGACCAAUUUCAGCUACGCCCGUACUCAUUGAUCAUGCCGCCGGUUCCACACGGGGGUUCAAUUCCCCCCAUCUCCAUCC
rnacentral:tmRNA from 1 species